UUCAAUUGCUUCGCUUUUCUCUAGUCACAUCGACCUAGAUGUAGAGGAAGACCAACAAAUGGAGUCGUUUGACCAUAUGAUGUCUCACUCCGUCACUGCUUAUGUGUGUUUCUUGCGUGAUAGAUGCGGAAGCGAUAGGUAGGUAAGCAAGGCGGAGGGUCGGGUGGCUCUAGCACUCCGGCGGCAAAGACAGGCCACCCUUUUAGAAGCGUUGAUACAACUGACUGGCGAUCGGUCACCACUACCACUAAUCUCCUUCUUCCACCGUUGCUUACGGUGUUCUCUUUUUCCUCUCCCAAUGAAAUUCAUUCUUUACAGGCAUCCCUUUUGAUCUUCCAACUUUUAUCUCUCCGUCUAUUCCACACUAUCUGGGUUUAUUUCCGGAUCUGACUUCAUUUUUUUUGUUCGUUUCCGACUUCUUGGGGUUUAUCCUUCCGCCUUGUCGUCAAGUGAGGGUUUAUCGAUUAAUUUUACCGUCCGUUUUUCAUUUCGAUUUUCUCCAUAAGGGUAACGUUUCACUUAAGGAUUUAUUUUCCCUUUUUUGAAAUCGCAAUUGGACUUGAAUGGCUGCUGGUCACCAGAUAUAUAAUAAUCUACUUCUUGUCUGAUGGGUCUAUUUCUUUUUCUUUUAUUUGAUUGGUUUUGAUUUCUGUUUGCUUAAGUAGCUUUCAGACCAUCAGCAAGAACAACUGUAGUCUCUACCUGUGGAGCUUUGGGAAUCAUGAAGAGAUAACGUCGAAGUUAUCAACGUCUCUCAAUUCCUGUGGAUAAAAACCCUCAAGGCAGCUUCAGUCGAGGACAUGAUUCAUAUAAGAGCAUCGUCUUCCUUUUUAUGACUUUCAAAUUUCAGUUCUUAUCCUUAUGGCACCAUAUUUGUGCUUAUGUUGGCUUUUUUUUUGGGCUGUUUGAAUCUCAGAUUGUUAAUGACUUCAUUUGAAGAUCAUUGAGCUUAGGAUUCCAGUUUGUUAAUAGGGUGAUAAAGGUAUUGGAAGAAUCUGGAAUCGUAUGCUAAGUUUGAUUAGACGUUGAAACAUUUUCCCACCAACUGUUUGUUAAAUUUUUUACUGAAUUCUCAUAUUUUUAUGUGGUUUGUAACUGAUACUGAUCAUUUAUUGGUUUAUGAGAUUUAUUCAAAUAAAGAAAUCAAAGAAUAAAAUAUUGGUUUUUGUUUUUGAAUCCCAGGUACACCUUUGGCAAAUGUUAUUUUUUGGAGCGAGCUUUUGACUGAUACUAUUAAGGUUAGUAAUAUAAUAUUGCACAUAAAAAUUGAUUAAUUGUUUGCGUAUUAGAUUUGUGAUUUUCUUUGUGGUUAUUCACUUGUUUGUAUAAAUAAGAUUUAAGGGCCUUACGAGGCUAAGUGUAUUCUUUCAUGGAAAUUGAAAUGAUGAUAAGUAAGAUGUGCUAUGUGCGAGAAAUGGUCUGGUAUAAUUAAAGUGAUGAUCCUCCGAUGAACACGUAACAAUUUAGUUUUUUUUAUUGAGAAAAUCAACAUACGGUGUUGUCGAAUACUUUCCACAGGUAUAGUUUCAGUAUAUAUACUUAUUGCAUUAUAAUUUUGGAAUUUAAAUGUUUUAAACUUUUUAAUUCUUUUUUCAAACGUAUAAUCAGAGGCUAAGUGUAUUCUUUCAUCACAAUUCUAACAUUUUUGUUUAUUAUUCUUAAAACAUUGUUUUUGAGCUUGAUAUGUUUAAGUAGUUUGAGUUUUCUUGACCGUUGGAGCUAUCUUAAAUAUAGUUUUUUUUUUUUUUUCUACUUUUACUUUUGAAGUACUAGCUUCAUUCUUUUAUCAAGAUGGUCAUAACACGAGGAUCUUUUUAAUUAUAAGGAUUCAUUAUUAUUAUCAAGAUGGUCAAACCACCUGGUGGUCGUGUUGUAGAAGAAUGAAGACAAAAUAGUCGUGAAAAAGGCCAUCGUCAUGUCAUUACGACUAACCUGUCAUGUCGUAAUGAACGCACUAAACAACUUAAUGCCUUGUGCUCUUAAUCCUUCAAGCCAAGCAAACAAGGUUUCAAUAAGGCUUUCUCCAUCUCAAAAUACUAUAAAAUUCAUAGUUGUUUUGAUAUACAUAUCCAAGGCAUGUUCUAAACACCAGCUAGGUCAAAAUGAAUGGAAAAUGAGAUCAACUCUCAUGUAUAGAACUCAAAGCUCACUAGUAUUAUAGAUCUAGGACAAAGGGAUAAAAGGGAGUGUCAAGAACUCAUAAAUUUGUGAACUUUAUAAGUUUCCAACACUCAAACACCCUCAAAAAGUGAGAAAAAUGAACCAAACCCUAAAUCUAAAAUGCUUGAGAAAAAAAGAUAGGAACUUGAGGACUUACAAGAGCCCUAAUGUAACUCAAGAUGAUGAGGGAGUGGCUCUCUAGCGGAGAUGAUGUACCAAUAUUCCUUAUCUUUUUCUUCAAGGCUUCAAAUUACCCAAAAAAAGGGCUUAGAGAUCAAAUACGGAGGAUUAGGAUUUCUUCAAGGAGAAGGGAAGUGAAAGAGGUUGAGGUUGUGUAAACCCUAGCCGCUCACUUCCCUUAAAUAUGGGACAACUUCGAAAUUAGGGUUUUUCACGCAAAGGUUGUCACGUCGUGACCAGCAUGUGUGUCACGUCGUGAGAGCCAAUAAGAUGCGUGUUCCUCAUCGAGCACCGUCAGUCGUGACACAAAUGUACUCACGUCAUAACUAAGGAUUCAAUCCUUAAAAGCUAAAUAAUUAUUCAAAGGUGAUGCUUACCUUGAACUGGGUGUUACAAUUCUCGCCCACUUGAACUAGAUUUCGUCGUCGAAAUCCUCAGCUACAAAUAGAUAUGGUUAGUGCUCGUGCAUCUCUGACUUGGGCUCCUAAGUCCACUAGGAACCCUUCUGAUUCUGCCAUUAAACGUUGACUAAGGGCACCACCUUUUUAUGCAAGGCCUUCUUCUUCUUAUCCAGAAUAGCCAUCGGCUUCUCCACAUAAUUCAAGUGCUUAUACACCUGAAUGUCAUAUAUUGGGACCACCGCUAUAUCAUCAACCAAGGACUUCCGAAGCUGAAAUACAUGGAUGGUAAUAUGAAUCUGACUAAGCUCCUCAUGCAAAUCCAACCGAUAGGCCACUUUGCCUAUCCUUGCCACUACUCCUAAAGGUAUGAUAAAUCGGGGGCCAAACUUGACCUUCUUCCUGAAGCGUAUAACACCCUUCCAUGAUGAUAUCUUUAGUAGAACCACGUCCCUAACCUGAAGAUCCAACUCAGGCCUUUGCCUAUCAGUGUAACUAUUAUGCCGGCUCUUGCUAUCUAUAACCUCUGCCUGAUUUGAUGAAUAAGUUUUUUCGUUUGGAGAACCACCUGAAUCCUCCUUAUUACCCUAUGACAGACCUCUCCCUGAUAAAUUGGAGUACGACACUUCCUCCCAUAUAAAAGCAUGUACGGAGGUGCACCAAUGUUGGAAUGAUAGAUGUUGUUGUAAGAAAAUUCAGCUAGGGGAGGUAUGAGUCCCACCUCCUACCGAAAUCAAUGACACAAGCCUUGAACAUAUCCUCGAGUGUAUGAAUAGUCAACUCACUCUGGUCAUUAGUCUGACGGUGAUAACUGGUGCAGAAGUGUAGUCUCGUACCUUACUACUCGUGAAAACUUUUUCCCUUGGCACACAACACACGACUGGAUUUCCUCGGGUUUGUUUGCCUAUAGCACAAAGUCGUACCUCCUCAAACCAACCGCAUUAUGUCGACAUAUACAAGCAGAUAAACAAUAGCCAUCAAUACAGAUAAUCAUACAAAUUUACCAAUCUAACAUAUUACUUUAUUAUACCAAUUUCCAAUACAAAAUGACACAUACAUCAAUAUAAAGUAUAAUGAGAAAACUCACCUUCCAGCCUAGAUGAUAUGAACACUGAUCACAGAUCCUAUAACCAACACUACAUGUCACUUAUACAUCAAAUAAGGACCACAUCUCAAAACUACAACCCAAAACCCAAAACUUGACUUGAAGUCAAACCUAGUCUAAAAGUCAAUGGUCAAUGUCAAAGUCAACACUCAAGAGUUAUUCAGCUAGUUGCCACAUCGUGACCCCCUGUUGGUCACAUCAUGGCAGAAUGAAGACAAAGUGGUCAUCAAAACAUGGCAUCGUCACGUUACUCCGACCAACUCGUCACGUCAUGAAUAACAAACUGAACAACUUAAUGUCUUACGCUCCUAAUCCUACAAGCCAAGCAACCAAACUUUCCAAAAGGCUUUCUCUAUCUCAAACUACCAGACAUGCAUGUCCAAUGAAUGUCCUAAACACCAACUACGUCAAAAUGAAAGGAAAAUGAAAUCAAAUCCCACGUAUGGAACCCAAAGCUCACUAAUAUUCCAUAUAUGGGAAAAUGGAUACAAGGGAGUCACAAGAACUAAUAAAAUUGUCAACUUCAUGAGUUUUCAACACUCAAACUCCCUCAAAAGGUGAGGAAAGUGAACCAAACCCUACAUCUAACAUGCUUGAUCUAAAAAGACAGGAACUUGAGGACAUACAUGAGUCCUAAUACAACUCAAGAUGAUGAGGGAGUGGCUUCCUAGCUGAGAUGAUGCACAAAAAUGCCUUCUCUUCUUCUUCUUCUUCUUCUAGUAUUCAAAUCAUCAAAAAAGGGCUCAAAGAUCAAAUAUGGAAGAAUAGGGUUUCUUGUGGGAGAAUGGAUGUGAUGGAGGUUGAUGGUGUGCAAACACUAGCCCCUAACUUUCCUUAAAUGGGGGACCAACCUCAAAAUUAUGGUUUUCCAUGCAAAGGCUAUCACGUCGUGACCAACAUAUGUGUCACGUCGUGAUAACCAAUGAGAUUGGCGUUCCUCACGGGGCAACGUCCUGUCAUGACAAAAAUGUGCUCAUGUCAUGACUAAGGCUUCCAUCCUUAAAACACAAAUAAUUAUUUAGAAGUGAUGCUUAAACGGGUGUUACAUGAUAAGUUAUUGGUGUGAAUUAUAUAUCGACAUAAAAUUUUAUAUAGGAUAAUGAUUAUAUUAUAACACAAAUUAGGGGAUAUGCUUGUCUGAACAUGGACGUGAGGAUAAUGAGCUUGAAAAUGACAAACACCUAAUCAUAGAUACUAUUCUAAACAACAUAAAAUCAUAUAUAUAUAUAUANAUAUAUAUAUAUAUAUAUGACAUCCCCAAAUUAACGAUCAUUUUAAAAUUUUAAUUUAUGCUUAUUUUAAAAUCAGAGUAUCAUUUUUAAAGAACAAUGUUGCAAAAUUUGUUCCCAAAAAAAACAUGAUAAAUAUGUUAUCAAAUCAUUUCCAAAGAAAUGUAUUUUAUUUAUUCUAAAACUUUGGGAUGUCAUCGUCACUACAAAAGCAUAAACAUAAACAGAACUUACAUUCAUUUACACUAGUGAUCUACAUCUCUUUAAUCUCCCGGUGUAGUGUAGCUUUAUAUCGACACCUGUGAUAGAAAUAAAUUGAGAGGGUCAGGUUGGGAAACCUGGUGAGUACAUAGAGUUUUCAACCCACAAUAAUAAAGUUAUUAUGUUUAAUCAUCAAAAAAUAAACCCAAUUACACAUUGUCAAUAUCUUCUUUAUUUUUAAGUAUCUUCCCUAAGAAUCAUCUAUUCCUCAUUAUAUAUUCCUAAGGAUUGUCCUAAAGAAUGGGCACGAAGUCCAUUGUUGUCAGGGUUUGUAUAACAAGCACUAAGUCUAUAGUUGCAAAGGCUCAUCUAACCGACACUAAGUCCAUAGCUGUCAGGGUUUAUCUCAUUUAUUGAUUGUAUUAUUUUAGGGAGUCCACCCACAAUACAGGUCAAUGGGUUUUUAGAGUACCCAGGGUGAGGACAUCGUUCACAAAACCCACAAGUUGUGAGCCUGCUAGUGUUCCACUAGACUCUCUAGAAUAGUCUGUGGUUGUUAUAUGUAGUCUGCUAGAUGACAAGACCAUCGCUUUGGUCAUUGCUUGGGUCAUCGCUUGGGUCAUCGGUUCUCACUAUUAUUUACCACUCAUAUAUCAUCGCUCAUCAUUCAUCUCAAUCUACCCAUCUUUGACCUGUCAUAAUUAUAGGUAUAAAAUACAUAUACAGUUUAAAACAAUUAAAACAUGUAUAUUUUUGUUCAUCCAACAUAAAUAUUAAGUACACAUAUAAUAUGCACACAUAGCAUGAAAUUUAUAUUAAAUACUUCAUAUCUAUGUGUAAGAUAAAAGUAACUAUAUGCUCACUUGUUAAAGUGAUGACUCCAAACUUGGACAGCGCUCCGCUUCUUAAUAUAAUUUCCUUCGAUGAAACUAAAUAUUAUUACCACUAGAUUUUAGUCUAAUGUUUCUCAUGACUAAUUACUAGUUUUAGUAUUAUUAUUUAUAUAAGUGUUUGGCAAUGCUUUUCAACCACUAUGUACAGACAAGGCUAGACAUAAAACACCAGAGGGCAGGACCAUCUUGGCAUAUAGCACUUAUGAAAUCCAACAAGCCUAUACGGCCCUUUAAACCAGAUUCCCUAUACGGCGAGUAGUUAAAAACUAUAUAUUAACACUUUUUAUUUAUAUANNNNNNNNNNNNNNNNNNNNNNNNNNNNNNNNNNNNNNNNNNNNNNNNNNNNCAUUGAUGAAUCUUUCUAAAAAGAUUCUUGAAGCGCUUCUAUGCUCAUCUUCCCAUACUAAAACUACAAAAAGAGAAGUCAAAUCACGAGGGACCGAAAUGCUCGGGAGAUAAGAAGAGAAAGACUCUUGAAUCAAGAGAAUGGUGCAAGAAGUAGGAGAGCCUAGAGGCUCUUAUUUAUAGUAAUUAAAUUUUCAAAAAUUAUCCUGUAUAGUUACUUAAUGACCUUAUAGUUAUAUAAACGACCAAACACCCCUUUAUAAUACAAUUUUUAAUAGAUUUAAUGAUAUUUAUACUAAACUAAUGUCGAAAGUCCUCAACACUAGUCUUAUAACGACCGCAUCGUCGAUACCUUUAUAUGCAUAUAUANNNNNNNNNNNNNNNNNNNNNNNNNNNNNNNNNNNNNNNNNNNNNNNNNNNNNNNNNNNNNNNNNNNNNNNNNNNNNNNNNNNNNNNNNNNNNNNNNNNNNNNNNNNNNNAUAUAUAUAUAUAUAUAUAUAUAUAUACACAUGUAUAUAUGAUUUAUACUUUAUUUUAAUAUGUAAAUAUGCUAUUAUAAUUUAUAACUCAUUCAUAGUAACUCUGUUUUUGACGUUCUUUAUAUUUUUAUUUUUCAUCAAUAUUUUUAUAAAAUUAAAUGACUUUGCUAAAAUCAUAACUCUCUCAAACGGACUCAAUUUGUGGCAUUCUUUUUCUCAACAUUCCUAUUUUAAGGAAUACUAUGAUUUACGUUUUGGUGUCAUUAGCUAAAAGUCAACCAUUCUCUUUGUAGCUUUUUAUGUCACAUAUUCCUUGUGUGCGGGUGACUUUUAUAUCUUAUAAAAAUAAUAUCUAAUUCAUAAGGAUUCACAUUUCGAAGAAAUUUAUAUUUUAGGGAUCGGAAAAGACGUGAUAUUCGCCGCAUCACGUGGGACGACAUAAUUAUAAUUAAUAUAUAAAUUGUAGGUGUUGUAUAUUCAAAUUAUAGUCUUUCAUAAAAUUACUUCAUAUAUAGAUGAAAUAUUUAACUUGGUCUUUUAUCAAUAUGACUAGCUAGUUUGUUUGUAAAACUAAAAUAUAUUGAAUGAUAAAUAUUUUGAUUUUGCCAAUUGAAUAUCAUUUUAAUUAUUUUAACAUAAAUAAUUCAAAAAAAUCUUACCUUUUUGAACCCCGCUCGAUAAAAAUAAAUGCCCAAAAAAUACUAAUGACAUCAUACUAUAUUAUAAAUAAAUCACUUUUUCUUUCACCGCAUUCAUUGGAAACUCGCUACUAUUCAUAUUUCCAUAUAAUAUACUUGAUUUAUUAACAUAAAUAUCUUUUUAGUUGUAAACAUUAUUAUAAAUGAAAGACUUUCUGACUUAUCAAUAUAAUAUACUUACUUUGUUAACUUCAAUAUAUUGUUAAAUAAAUAACCUACAUUAAUAUUAUCAAAUUAUCUUAAAAUUUUAAUUUAAAAUUAAAAACCUAAAGUAAAAUAUCAAAUAAUGUUUUUUUUAUAUUGAAUAUAUAUAUAUAUAUAUAUAUAUAUAUAUAUAAAGGUAUUUACAUCUAUUUNNNUUAAAUAUAAUAAAUAUAAAGGAACUUAAAUCAAUGAAUGAAAUUAACUAAAAGGUGUCUGAAAACUAUAUUUUAUAAUAACUAAAAUUCAAUUAAAUAGUUUUUAAAUUAAUUUAUAAUAACAAUAGUUGAAAAUGAUAGAAACUUAGAAAUUAAAUUAUGUUACAUUACAAACAGUUGAUAAUUAAAAUAAUCAACAUGAUAAAAUUAAAACACCAUCAAUUUUUUUUAAUUAAUAAAUCAUAACAAUAGUAAGUUGAAAUAUUUGACAAAUAUAACUAAUGUUAUACACACAUAAAACAAGAGUACAGAACAUUAAAUUAUUUGAUUUUAAUAAGUGUUAUUUUAUCUAUUGUUCAAAUUAAUUAUAAUUUUAUAUAAAGUAAAUGUAAUAAUUAUUAUUUUAUAGUUAAUAUAAAUGACAUAAAAUUUUCAAUAACAUUAGAUUACCAAAAGUUUUAACUUUUCAAUUUCUUUCUAUCAAUAAUUUAUAAGUUUGUUAAUAAGGUUAAAUGAAUAUCAAACAAAUCGUAUAUAAACAAAAUUUCAAUAUUGAAAGAAUAUAUUUAAACCUACUUAUAGAUUUAUGUUUUUAAUUUUUAACAUAUUUUACUUAAUUUAUUCGUAUUAAUAUGUUGUUUUCAUGCAAACCAUUAUCAUUUUAAAGCUACAACUUUUGAACAAUUUGUAUAGAAUACUUACAGGGUCAACUUAAAUGUAAAUUUUAGUUCAACUUAAAUAACCAAGGAAUAUAUAUUGUAAAUAGUGAUAAAUUGUAGUAUCUUUCUAAUAAUGAUUAUAAGUUAGUUAAUAAGGUUAAAUAAAUAUCAAACCUAAAGUGUAAUCAUAAAAAACUAAAUUUUAAUAUUAAAGUAAUAUCUCUACUUCUACUUAUAAGGUUAUGUCUUUAACUUUUAACAUAUUAUACUUAAUUGAUUAGAUUUAAUAUAUAGUUGUAUGCAACCAUUAUCACUUUUGAAGCUACAACUUUUGAAUAGUUUUGACAAAAAACUUAAAUUGUUAAUUUAAAUAUAACAUUACAGUGUCAACUUAAAUAUAAAUUUCAAUUUCCACUUAAAAACCGAAAGAAUAUUUUGUGAAUAGUUAAAAGUGAUAAAUUGUGGUGCUAAGUGCAAAAACUAAAUUGCACUCUCAAUUUAACUAAAAUAUUUCCUGAUGAUAUUUUUAUAAUCGUUAAAAAUAACUGUUUAUAAAUGAUUAUAUUGUUACCUCUAAAAAAACAAUGUUUGAUGUUUUAAAUAAUUACAAUGAGAGAAGAUAAAACAUUUAGCAAAUAAAUUUUAAAAAAUUAAUUAUCAACAACAACUAUAAAUAACAUUAAACUAUAUCUUAUAUUUAAUUGAAUUCAUGAAUAACCCGCAGGUGGAGGUCACUCAAACAAUUGACAUUAUGUAGUUUUAACAGGUGUAUAUAUUACAUAUAAUUCAAAAUAACCAAUAUAUCAUAUCAACUUAUCAUACGAAUUAUUAUAUCAAAUUUAACAACAACGUUAUUGUUACAUUUAAAAAAAACAUAUAUUUGUAAAGAUUUCAACUAUAUAGGUGUUUCUGCGCAACGUGCGAGCAUUCGCCUAGUGUUGUGUAUAGGAGAAUGAUCAUCAUAUAAUCAUAUCAUAUCAUAUUCAUAUUAUAUUAUAAAGGAAUCAUUUUUUCUUUUCACCACAUUCAUUUGAAACUCCCAUACAAUUUUCCUUUCACCACAUUCAUUUGAAACUCCCAUGACUUUUCAAUUUCUUUCUAAUAAUAAUUAUAAGUUAGUUAAUAAGGUUAAAUAAAUAUCAAAGCUAAAGGUUAAUCGUAUAUAAAGUUUAUUUCAAUAUUAAAAUAAUAUAUUUACUUCUACUUAUAAAGUUAUGUUUUUUUUUUUUUUUUUACUUUUAACAUAUUAUACUUAAUUUAUUAGUUUUAGUAUAAUAUUGGAUGUAAACCAUUAUCAUUUUAAAGAUACAAUUUUAGAACAAUUUGUAUAAAAUACUUAAAUUAUUAAUUUAAAUAUAACAUUACAGGGUCAACUUAAAUAAAAAUUUUAGUUUAACUUAAACAACCCAAAAAAUAUUUUGUAAAUAGUUAUAAAUGAUAAAUUAAAGUGUCUUUUCUAAUAAUGAUUAUAAGUUGGUUAACAAAGCUAAAUAAAUAUCAAACCUAAAGUGUAAUCAUAAAUAAACUAAAUUUCAAUUUUAAAAUAAUAUCUUUACUUCUACUUAUAAAGUUAUUUCGUUAACUUUUAAUAUAUUAUAAUUUGUUUAUUAUAUUGAAAAUGUUGUUGUAUCUAAACCAUUAUCAGUUUAAAGCUAGAAAUUUUGAACAGUUUACACAAAAUACUUAAAUUGUAAAUAGUUAAAAGUGAUAAAUUGUAGUGAUAAAUGCAAAAACUAAAUUGUAAUCUCAAUUUAACUAAAAUAUUUCCUAAAUAUAUUUUUAUUAUCGUUAAAAGUUUCAAAGAAGUAGCUUAAAAUAACUUACAAUAACAAUAGUUAAAAACAACUUUAUAGAAAUGAUUAUAUUAUUACCUUUAAAAUAAACAAACAAUGUUGAUGUUUUAAAAAAUUAUAAUGACAGAAAUUAGAACAUUAAGAAAAUAAAUUUUAAAAAAUUAAUUAACAUUAACAACAACUAUAAAUAACAUUAAACCAUAUAUUAUAUUUAAUUUUAUUCAUCUGUAACUCGUGGGUAGAAGUCAUUUAAACGAUUGACUAAAUUACAAUAUUAAAAUUUCAUAUUAUAUUUCUGUUUAUAAAAUUAUGACUUUAAAUUUUUAACAUAAUAUAUUUAACUUAUUAGGUUAAAUAUGUUGUCGUAUGUGAGCAACUAUCGUUUUAAAGUCACAACAUUUGUAAAAUUUACAAGUUGAUGCAAAAUACUUAAAUUAUUAAUUUCAAUAUAAUAUUAAACAAUUAAUUUAAAUCAAAAUUUCAGUUAAUCUUGAAAAAACUCGGGAGACUGUUUUAUAAAUAGUUAAAGAUUAUAAAUUAUAGUUUUAAACCUAAAUUGUAAUCCUAAAUUAAAAAAAACCAUGAAACUGUUUUUCAUAAUCAUUAACAAUUUUCAAAUAAAUAGCUUAAAAAUAACAUACAAUAAAAAUAGUUAAAAGUAAUAUUAUAUAAAAAAACUGUAAUAUUUUCUUUGAAAACAAAAACAAUGUUUUUUUGUUUUAAAUAACUACAAUCAUCGAAACUAACAAUAUUCAUCAAAUAAAUUUUAAAAAUAUUAAAUUUAUGAAACAAAAUUAAAAUAAUUAACAGUUUUGAAAUACGUUAUUUUAAAUAACUUACAACAACAAUAGUUAAAAUUAAAUUAUAUACAAAAAUUAUAUUGUAGGCUUUAAAAACAAAAACAUUGUUCGAUAUUUUAAAUGAUUAUAAUGAUAGAAAUUAAAAUCUUGAGCAAAUAAACUUUUUUUAAUUAAUUAAUCAUAACAACUAUAAAUAUCAUUAAAUCAUAUAUUAUAUUUAAUUUUCAUUCAUAAGUAACCUGCACGUAGACGUCAUUAAGACACUUAGGAAUAUAUAAUUUUAAAAGAUAUCUAUAUUAUCAUAUAAUUCAAAACAAACAAUGUUUAUAUCAACUUAUUUUAAGAUUUACUAUAUAAAAACUAAUAACAAUGUCAUUAAUAUAUUUAAAAAACAUAUAUUUGUAAAAAUUUGAAAUAUAUUAUUGUAUUAUGCGCAACACGUGAAUAUUUGUCUAGUUUUAUUAUAAGACAAAAUAGGGGAUAGACUUGUAUGAGCAGAUGUACAAGAGAAUAUUGAGCUUGAAAAUGACAAACAUCUAACCAUAAAUACUCAUCUAAAACGUUUAGAAUCACAUAUAUAUGAAUCAUACAUGCCCCACAUAGUUAUUAUACAUAGUUAUUAUGAACCUUCAAUAUUAUGUAAAUAUUAUUUAUCAAAGUCGGUUAUACAUACAUAUAUUAAUGUCCACUUGCCUUUUCAGUUUCCCCAUUAAACUUCAUUUGCUUUUACAUUAUUUACUCAUAAACUAAUUUUUGAUCUAAAAGUUUUCACCCCUAAUAACUUUUAAGUUAAAUUAUAAGUAUGCUAUAAGUUUUGAUUUUGGUCGCUUACAGUAUUUAAAACUUACGUUUUUCGUCUCUUACAUAAUUUGUUUUUACUGUUUUCAUUUUUAGUAAUAUGACUUUUUGUUAUUACGAUUUUUAAUUAAUUUUCAUUUUUGUAUUGUACGAAUGAAAAUCUAUUUUCAAACCAUAUUUUUGUCUGCAUCAUCCAUACAUAAUUGUUUCGAUCGAAACUAUAUUUUAUACUUUUAUUGUUCACUCUGUAAAUGUGUUAUUUGCCACAAUACGUGGGGCCACAGAAUACGAGUUCUGCGUCGGACAUUCUAGUUAUAGCCUUUCAUAAAAGUAUUUUAUUUAUAGAUAGAAAUACAUCGAAGGAUAAAUAUUUUUGAUUUUGCAAAUUGAAUAUUAUUUUAAUGUCUUUAACCUAAUUUAUUCAAAAAAUACUUAUCAUUGUGAACCUUGCUAGAUAAAACACAUGUCCAAAUAAUACUAAUGACAUAUUGUGUUUGACAAGAGGGAAUAUCUAAAAAUCUAAUUGUUAGCAAAUAAAUUAUGUAAUAGAAAAUUAAGGGUUUCUAAUAUCUAUCUGAUAAGCUAUAAAUAUGAAAUAUAAACCAACAUUGAAUAAUAUAUUGGAGAAUGGUUAUAUUAUAAAACAAACUAGGGGAUAUGCCCAGAGACGGGGCCAGAAUUAUAGAAUAACGGGGCUUAUAUUUAAGAAUAUGAAAAUACAAUCUUUACCAUUUUUUUUUCAUUUAUUUAACCAUGCUACGAUAAUUGUAUAUGACCUAACUUGAUGUUUAGCUGGAUAACUUAAAACUGAAUGUUGAUUUCUAAGAUAACGAUCAAAGUAUCUAACUUUAAAGCAUUUAAAUAUAAAAUAUCAUUUUUUUUCGGAUUCAAUAUUAGUAAUUCGAUAUUACUAUUAUUUUUAGGUUCUAAGGGUGUAUUAUGAUCAUCUUCCUUAAUUAAUAUUAUUAGUAACAAAAUUCAUUUAUCGAUAAUGAAUACGUGCUUUUGGUUUUUAAAAAGUAAUCUUUGUUUUUUUUGGACUAGGAAUAUAAAACACCAAAUUAACAAUUAUAAUGAUAUUUUAAUUACAAAUUACAAAAAAAAAUUGAAUACAUAUAAUAAAUUUAAAGAUUUGGUUUGUCAUUAAUCCGAAUAUAACAUAGACAUAAAAAUAUUAAGUAAAUUUAUAUGUAAAAAAAAUAUUAAAAUAUCAUGUCCAAGUCAAUUGAAUUCAUUAGUAGAGGCGGUGGGUUUUCAUUUCAUAGUGUAUAUUUAUGUGUGGCUNNNNNNNNNNNNNNNNNNNNNNNNNNNNNNNNNNNNNNNNNNNNNNNNNNNNNNNNNNNNNNNNNNNNNNNNNNNNNGUCUGCCCCGGUAUUGGCUCCGCCAUUGGAUAUGCCCAUGCAAACUCGUGAGUGAGGAUAUUAAGCUUGAAAAUAACAUUGAUGUGUUUCUUUGAUAUAAAAAAACAUAUAUUUUUAUAGUUGAAGAGAAAGGUUAAUUACAUAGUAAACAUUACAUUAUCUUGAAAAAAUAAAUAAACAUAUCGAGAUGUUAAUUUUCUUCUUGAAAAUUUCUUAAAUGUUUUAUGCUUCAUUACGAUAGUCAAUAAAGAAACUCAUACAUCACGUAUUAAGUAAAUACUUCAUAUAAAUCAUAAUUAAUUGUUCUAUUGAUUGCAUUUAAUUAACGUGGUGUGUAGACUAAAACUUGUUAUCCAAACUUAAAAUUAUGGAUGUUGAUAUCAUGUAUCAUUUCUUAUAAAAAGUUAAUAUUAGUGUACACUAUCACUUACCCUAAAAUUUCACUUCCAUCAAUCCAAUUAACAAUAGCGUAUCCAUAAAUGGCUAACUUCAACUAUUUGUAAUAGGGUUGAAUUUGACAUAGAAAAUUAGCAUGCUUUGAACAUGGAUCAUGAAAAUAUAACAAACAUACAAACAUCAUAGAUGCAAUUCCACAACAGAAAAUUGCACCGUCAAAAUGAUUUGGACUAGCUUUUUAUGGUGCUUCAAUGUGGAGUUGGUUUUAAUNNNNNNNNNNNNNNNNNNNNNNNNNNNNNNNNNNNNNNUAUAUAUUCGAUAGUAAUAUAAUAUGUUCGGUGGGAAUAAUAUUUUUGAAUGCACUUAUAUAAAUUUUAUAUUUUCCAAUGUUGAAACACAAUAACAUUAAAAUCACAUCGCAAAGAACUCCAGAAGGUCUAUCUAAACUUUUCAAUCAUUCAUGUACUCUUCUAGCACAUUAAUUUUUACCUUGAUCCUCUCACCAAGAGAAUAUAGCAACUCCAUUGAAGAUUGAAUAAGCUUCGUAUAAAGGGUCAUUGACUUGUACAUUAAUAUUUUUACCAUGAAUGUACUUGAAGAGACUGGAUACAAACGAGUUUCUACAAACUAUGCAUCUGCUCAUUACUAAAUUUUAUUGUUUCUUAUAAGGUUGUUAGUGUACUUUUUCUUCGUUAUCAUAUGUGAUAUCUUGACAUAUGAAAAUCAUAAUUUCUUGUUUCGAGCAGAAGGUAGACAUUAUGUACAACACAAAGUCUGACUUGAUAUGAAGAAAAUGAUCAUGUUUAUAUAGUAACUAUCGUAUUAAGGAACCAAGUCACUUUCAUGCAAGUUAAAUUACAUGGUUAUAAUUAAAGAAGGAAAUUACAAAUUCUCUAUUCAAAAUGGUUGACUUCUUACAUGGGCGUUGUGAAUUAGUUUCGCUAAUUGGAAUAAAUGAAAAUGAAAGGAAAACCCUUGUUGAUGUGAAUUAUAAUAUCCUUAUUCCCGGUAUUUGAUUUAAAUCUAGUUUUAAUUUGGAUAAUUCACUGAAAAACUAAAAUAUGGAAUUAAUUGCAAGAAGUAUGACAUGCUUCUUAUGGGUGCAGCGUGCUCCAACCCAAGGGCUGAACAACUUUUUAGGGUUUAGGGCUAUUUUAGACCCUUAACUCUCUAGGUUUGAAUCAUUUAUGCUCUCCUUCAACCCUACAGAGAUCCUCCAUAAAACCUAACCCUUUUUCUCACCUUUUAAGCAUUAUAUCACCUUGGAUACUCAUUUUGCCUUAGUUUAUGCUUAAAUCUUGAAGAACAAGAUCUUGCUUGGUGCAUUGAAGUGGAGAACAAGUGUAGAUCCGAAACUUUUUUCUCCUCUCUCGGACCUUUGUGAGUCUAAAGCUUCAAACAUUCCUUGUUGUUGCUAGAUCUUUAAUUAUGUCAAUUUAUGUAUCUUUUUGUCCCCGUUUGUCGGUGAUCUUGUGGUUAAAUGAACUCUAUCACCAUGUAAGCACUUCAUGUUGAUUUUGGAGCCUUAUGGACUUAUAAAGUUUUGACCUUUAGCCUUACCUUAAUGCCAUGCAAAUCUUGGCGGUGUGUUAGGUCUUUUGGAAUGCAAAAGGCUAGAUCUUGGUUGUUCUGGUGUGUCUUAAUGGAAAAAAUUGGAAACUUUAUCUAUUUAGACCUUGUUAGAGUCCAUAUAUGGAGGGUGGGGUGGUAACUUAAAGGAUUAGCUCAUAAACCCUUAUGAAGAAGGCUUUAGUAAGAUGCUUGUAUCCUUGUGAGUGUGAUAUCCUCUAAUUUUCAGAACCAAAAGACCUUUCUUUACACUUUAAAAAUCAUGAUACUUCAUUUGCAGAAAAUCCCAGUAUAUAAAAUAUGUUUGAGAACAAUGAAUGGCUCAAAUAAAAUCCUAAGGAUGUCAUAACUAAAACAAAUACAUAAGUUUCGGUGUAAAGACCUAAUGAUCCUAAACACUAUUAUAGGUUGUCUAUACUCUACGUUCCUAAUUUCACACAUUCUUUGAAUAAAACUACCCAAUAUCAAACUUGAUUGAAUUAUGAAUCUAUAAUAAGUCUUAUUUCAUUAACGGGCGAAGACUACAAGGCUUCCAAUACCAACACUAUCAUAUUUCACUAUAUAUUUACUACAGAGUAUUUAAGUAUUAAUAUAAUUUUUUCCUCACUAAUAAUACUUCCAUUAUUAUUAUCAUGUAACUGUAUCAUAUAUGCAUCUUAACACAUGUAGAACCAUAUCUGGUUCGCAUAUUGUACAUUAUCAAUAUACAUCUAACACAUAUCCCAGGAAAUAAGUGUAUAUUUCACAUAUGGCUUUCAAUGGAUAUUUACUACUUUAAUUAAUACUUGUAUUAUAAUCAUUUACAUGAAAGGGACUACACACUCACUUCACUUAUGUGGAUGACUGGUGAUUUGGGUAGUGCUUUGCGUAACACCUUAACUUUUCUUUUUAUGUGACAUAAGUACGAUUAAUAAUGAGUCUUAGUAUAACUGUCCUGGUGACUAAUAAUAGUCUAAAUUUUUCACUAAUCCAAAUGUCUAUAUCAAGAUCUAUCAAGUAAGGAAUAACCAGGUAAGAUCAGAUUGGAGGUAGGGUCCGUUUGGUAUAAAUAGUAUACUGUUUGGAAAUCUCACUUUAAACACCUCAUUAAAUCUAGACUAGACAUCAUUCUCGUAAGUAGAUCAAUUAGUAAAAUGACUUGGAAUCACUAAUAAAUAUUAUUUAUAGGUUCAUAAUAAUGACUAUGAACAUAAAUAUAAGUUACAUUUGAAAUAAAAUAAGUUUAUCUUAACUUACAUAAAUUUUAGCUAAAACCAGGAAAUUGCAUGGGCAGAACUCCGAAACCGAAAACUCUAUCUGUCCGACGCUUUGGGGCUUCGCUAAAGUAGCCACAAACUAGAAAGUGAAGGGAUAGGGUUAUGAGAGAGUUCUAUAGGAAUUGGGUGGAAAAUAGUGAGGAAAAUGAGUAGAAAAUAUAACUAUUUAUAGCAAGAAUUUGCAGGGGCGCACCGGGCCUCUGGUCGGAAGAGUUGACAUGGCUUCUGUUGAGUGAUGCCACAUCUAAGCUUUAGGGUGGGGCUGCGUUGACUUGUCAGAGCACGCCGUGUCUCUUUUCAGCAUGCACGAAACUUUAUUAUUUUGCAAAUAUUAGUAUCCUCUUAAAACAAGCUCAUCCACGCGUAACUAUUGACAAACACUGCAACUUUCAUUUAGACUCUGUCGGCUAGUUCUCACUUUAUUUUUAACUUAUUAUUUUUGAAGGCUUAGACUGGUAAAAUCCAUUUAAAAAUCAUAUCCCAUUCAUACAACAUCCAUUCUCUACUUUGUUUAUCUCACCUGAUAAGUAUUGACGAGAUCUUUAACUCUCGUUUAGAUUGUUUUUCCUAACAAUCAAUCGAUCAUAAUUUUGGUUUUUGUGCUACACACUGCUAUGCUAAAACUUUAAAAAAUCAUAACUUCUUCAUAACAAGUCACAUUUGGAUGUUCUCUAUAUGCACGCGUUCUCUUUUACGGUUACUACGACGUUCAUUUAGGUUACUUAUGAUAAGGAUCAACUUCACUAGCUAUCUUUGAUUCAUUAUUUACAAAGCGCAUAGUUGUGUUGCUUUAAUUGCGAAACUUCGAAGAAACAUAACUUCUUCAUAUGAAAUCAGAUUUAUGCGCUCCUUCUACCUUCGAGAUAAUCAUUAUUACUACUACAUCUUCAGCUAAGAUUGUCUAUUAUAUUUUAAAUGUCUAACGCGAAUCUUUAGGUGUUACAGUGAGUUAGGAUGGCGUUAUCUUGUAGCGAGCUGUUAGACAGGUAAACUAGCUUAGAUACUUACAUGUGUUACUAUAUUGUUGUUAGUUGUUUAUUAUUAUAAACAUGUCAACAUGUCUUGUGGUCAGUUAAGGACAAUCUAACUUUUUGUUGAAGGUCAAGAAACUUAAGGCAUACCAGCUUUAUGGUGAGGGCCAGGGGCGGAUCGACUUUAUGUUAAAGGCUGAAGGGAUGAGCAUCAUUAUGUUGAAGGCUAAU
rnacentral:lncRNA from 1 species